UGAAGAUUACCUCACUUGCGACAUAUGCCUUCAAUGCGAUUAUGUCUCUAAGUCGUGCCUCGACACAUGGGAGCUAUAGUCGCAUCGAGGGUGUUACACCGACACACUUUAAAAUUGAGCAAAAAUUGAAUGGAUGAACAGUUUAGAGCCUUUGCCUGCGGUUAAUUGAUCAAACUGGUGGUAACGUUAAGUUUGAUCAUUUGGAAAUGUCUGGAUCUACAAUUAUUUGCUAGAUAGGAGUACUAAAGAACCUGACUUGUUGCAGCUGCAUUGCUCAUCCUAUUCAUCACCUUGAGCUAAAGACUGCGGAUGUUGGAUACGGUUUACAGAGAUGAGCUUCGGGCCCGCCACAGUAUCAACAGUGGAUUUAUUGUAGCUCAGGCAUCCUCAAGCACACACAUGUCUUUUCCUUUUGACUAUUUAUAAUUAUAAGUUUUUUCUACCAAAUUUCUGCUAUUUUUCACAACCGGAACAUAGUAGAGUUAUAACUUUUAAAUUUGCUUAGGCGUGUCAUGACUCUACCAUUGAAAAGAUUGGCCUCCGAAGAGGGGAUGUGAUUGACUUGGAUCAUCGUUCUACUGUAGUUGAGCUUGAAGAAUUUCUUCUUGGUCUUGGUUGGGUCUUCUUGGAGAAGAAACUUGAUUCGCACUCGACCAUAGAUGUCAAGAUACGAGUUCAUGAUAUUCGUGCAAAAACAAGUGUUUGUACUAUUUUACCUAUGGGAUUCAGCGAUGCUGUAGUGCACUCAUACCAUUCAUCAGCCUCAUCCCAGGCCGUGAGACCGUGACGAUGUGAAUUAGGGAUCUCAUCAUGACAAAGAUUAGCUUAGGUCGGUGUAUGGUUCGUGGCUCUAUGCUGGUCUCACUGUAAACAUCAUCUCAGGAUACAGCAGUAGUCAGCACCGGCGACACCUCAGUCUUUGCUAAAAUUAAGGUUUGCUCUAUGCUUUUAGUUUUUUCCCCCUUGCGGGUGACUAUGCUUUUAGGUAUCACUUGCCGCUAACUUGGAUGACUCAUUGUGAUGAGUGCUUCAACAAACGUCUUAUAUUAAGUUAUAUAGGGAGUAUCUAGGUUGAGCCAAUCGUUCAGUCUAAACUUUGAGCAGCCUUGAACACAACGCAUGCUCAUGGCCAGAGGUAGAGUAAUAGCAGAAAAGUUAUUCUAGUACUCCCUCCGUUCCUAAAUAUUUGUCUUUUUAGAGAUUUUCAACAAAUGACUACAUA